rnacentral:misc_RNA from 1 species
AUUAAUUAAGUUAAACUGUUAAAAGACAUUAUUAAUAAUAAAUGAACUCUGAGGAUAUAAAUUUAAAUUUUAAAAUCUAAUCAAUUUUUUUAGAUAAAAAUGUAAUCAAUUAUUGCUCAGCUGCCCAACGCACCAUUAUUCCACACGCCUAGAGAGGCUAAUACUCUUGUGGAUAAUUUGACUAAAGCUGGGAGAGCCAAAAGUGAGGACUCCAUUGCUAUCUUACGAUGUAUUGUCUGUGCAAGGUAGAGAUCCUUUGACUGUUGCGCUAAUAAGGUAGCUUUGUGAGAUUGAUGUUGGUUGCUAGAUUUGUGUUGUAAUAUUUGUCUUUUUUGAACUGUUUAGUCAUUUGUGCUAUCAUCACCAGUUGUGUUGAUGAGGUAGUUUUGUCAUUUUAAGUUCUAACGUGCUGGUUGUUUUGCCCUUGGU